CGAAACACAGUAAUAAGGAAAGUAAAACUUACACUGCUGACACAGAGAGUCUUUGAUACGCUGAAAGAAGACGCGGAAAGAAAGUUCGAAAAUGGCCUUUGAGUGUUGAUGCCAAUAUGAGGUAUCAACGGGAUCGCCCGUUAUAGCGAUACAGUAUUAACAUUUUGUUCAAUGGCGUACUGGAUUUAUCCACGCGUCGUAUACUUCGUUAGUACUCAUUUUAUUUCACUUUAAGAUGAGUUUUAUUUUUUAACGAGGCUGCGAUGUCAUGAUUCAGUUUACGUUAUAAAGUUAACAUUUUGGCGUACUGGAUAAGGUUACUUUAGUGAUAAGGUAACAAACAAAGGUGGUACCGCGAGCUAAGCUUUCGUCCUUUAC
rnacentral:ncRNA from 1 species